rnacentral:rRNA from 1 species
CCUACGGGAGGCAGCAGUAGGGAAUUUUCGUCAAUGGGCGCAAGCCUGAACGAGCGAUGCCGCGUGAGUGAAGAAGGCCUUCGGGUCGUAAAGCUCUGUUGCGGGGGAAAAAAGGCAGCAUCAGGAAAUGGGUGCUGACUGAUGGUGCCCCGCCAGAAAGUCACGGCUAACUACGUGCCAGCAGCCGCGGUAAUACGUAGGUGGCGAGCGUUAUCCGGAAGGAUUGGGCGUAAAGGGUGCGCAGGCGGUCCUGCAAGUCUGGAGUGAAACGCAUGAGCUAAACUCAUGCAUGGCUUUGGAAACUGGAGGACUGGAGAGCAGGAGAGGGCGGUGGAACUCCAUGUGUAGCGGUAAAAUGCGUAGAUAUAUGGAAGAACACCAGUGGCGAAGGCGGCCGCCUGGCCUGUUGCUGACGCUGAGGCACGAAAGCGUGGGGAGCAAAUAGGAUUAGAUACCCUAGUAGUC